rnacentral:rRNA from 1 species
UACAGAGGAGCCAAGCGUUGUCCGGAUUGACUGGGCGUAAAGCGCACGCAGGCGGUCGCGCGCGUGGGGUGUGAAAUCUGGCCGCUUAACGGCCAGGCGCCAUCCCAUACGGCACGACUGGAGUGAUGCAGAGGUCGAUGGAAUUGCCGGUGUAGUGGUGAAAUGCGUAGAGAUCGGGCGGAACACCAGCGGCGAAGGCGGCAUCCUGGCCCGUACCUGACGCUGAGGCGCGAGAGCGUGGGGAGCAAACCGG